GAGGUUAUUUGCGGCCGGCAGUCAAGGACUUUCUCUUACAUAAUACGUUCACACUGUUACAGCUACGCUGUCCACGUAGCAAUAAUUAUUACGACGCUAUACAAAGAAUGGAAUCGUGUUUGACGAUUUUCUAGUUCAGGAAUUUCGAUAACGAGGAACAGACUAUUAAUAUCUAUUGCGUGUUCGUUUGAUGUGAACCGACACCUACCACGUUGCUAAACAUACUAGACAGGAUAAACUACACGGCUGUGGUCUAAAAACAAAUUAGCUACCAGGAAGACGGAAUAACGGUGCCAGAAGCGCAAACGACACAGUAAGCUGGUUAAACGGCUGGCCACCACUUCGGCUUGUCUUGUCCUACCUGACGGAUAUCCGGCGAAAAGCUCGAGACACGUGUCGCGACGCGAUUUCCGGAAAAUUUUGGAAGAUCACGCGUGACUGAGUUACGUACGAUGCUAGAAACGAACUGCCGUCGUGAAAGAUCACCGAGAACAAGGCGGACGGUUGUGCAUAUCGGUCUAAGUUAGCGUCGUAUUGGUAACAACGUACACAUAGGUGCCUCCUCCGCGCCACUAUGUAGAUAUGUGUUCUGCUGCGACCGUGUUCAGAAUCGCGUGAGAGUGGGGCGUCUGCGCUCUCUCGUUGGCGACCUUUAUUUGCAUGCAAAUUAGUGCGCGGGCGUGUUAUUACUUCCAUGUAAAUCGAGCGUGCGCCUUUCACGUGAACGCUUUUCCUGAAC
rnacentral:misc_RNA from 1 species